GAAAUGCGAUAAGUAGUGUGAAUUGCAGAAUUCAGUGAAUCAUCGAAUCUUUGAACGCACAUUGCGCCCCUUGGUAUUCCAUGGGGCAUGCCUGUUCGAGCGUCAUUUGUACCCUCAAGCUCUGCUUGGUGUUGGGUGUUUGUCCCGUCUCCGCGCGUGGACUCGCCCCAAAGUGAUUGGCAGCCGGCGUACUGGUCCCGGAGCGCAGCACAUGUCGCGCAAACGAGUGCCUUGGUACGGCGGCGUCCAUAAGCCCCUCUCUCACGCUCUUGACCUCUGAUCAGGUAGGGAUACCCACUGAACUUAAGC
rnacentral:misc_RNA from 1 species